rnacentral:rRNA from 1 species
AGCGGGCACGCCAGUGUUCGUGGAGUCGCCGUUGAAAUUCCACUCUGGUCACUCUGGAUAUCUAACUUCGGCCCGUGAUCCGGGUCAGGGACAGUGCCUGAUGGGUAGUUUAACUGGGGCGGUUGCCUCCUAAAAUGUAACGGAGGCGCCCAAAGGUUCCCUCAGCCUGGUUGGCAUUCAGGUGUCGAGUGCAAGUGCACAAGGGAGCUUGACUGUG